ensembl:lncRNA
CGAAACAGAGGUACUGCUGAAAGAUUUGCAGCGCCUUGAUUUGGUGCAAAACCUUACGGAAUUUAGGAAAGACUUGAGUGGCACUACCAUUCAACUAGUGGACACCCCCUCAACCGUACCAAGCACAAAAUGAUCCCAUCAUGUUGACAGUGUCAUGAUGCCCUUAACCUAUCCAAGGAAACAGGAAAUUGUCCAAGCAACAACAACACAAAUCUGUAUUUGAGGUCUUUUGUUCUUUGCUUGGAUAUCUGAAAAUGCCCAAAUCUGACUUUGUGAGGACACAUAAAGCUGCAUGAGUGUCAGAUCUUAGGUUCAGUUCUUAGGCUAUACCUGCUCGGACUCCAACCAAAAAGACUUGACUUACUUUAGACUUUAACAUUCAAGGAUACAAUUUUUAGUCAACAGUGUACAGGAACAGAGUGACUUUUGAUAUUUGUAUGUCAUUGUACUGAAACCCAUAUGCUCGGAGGGAGAGCCCUAUAGCUCACAACCCACUGCAAACAAAGUACUGUCUUGAAACCUCUCAGACUUCUAGAAGUAUUCUCCUAAUGCCUCUCUGAAAUGAGUGGGGGAACCCACAGAGAAGUCAGAAGACGUCGAAAAAGUGGGUAACGGAACAGGGGACAUCGAAAAAAGACCAGACUCCUCCGACAAUGAGGAAAAAUGAUGCCUUACUAACUGGCAAAGAAGUCACCGGACCAAGAGAUGAACCGCUCUGUGGAAUUAUUUCUAUCUCUAAAGAUCUCCACAACUAAAAAAAAAGGACAUACACACGGCUACUUUGGAGUUAAAGGGACUAUUGACACAGAAGCCAGACCCUGACUCUACACCCAGAUCCAUUUGGGCGGAGCACAGGGUGAUUUACCUCCACACUCCAGCAGGGACUUUAGAGGGACAGGGAUCCUUUUACUGUAAGAAACUUUCUCUGUAGUUGGUCUGAUGUUCUUAUGUAGGUUUAUUUGUUUGUUUUCAGUUGAUAAGGGAAAUCUGUUUUUGUAUCUUUCAGUUUGAGGAAUCUGUAUCAAUGGAUGGUAUUACGUGACAUAAUAUAGUAAUUAAACUUAAGACGUUGAUGUCAGUGCUGAAUGAAUGUGGGUCAUAUUCAGGCUAGAGAGUAAAUGAGCAACAAACUCAGGUCCUCAAUGUCUGCUACAACCCCCUUCAGUAUCUUC